rnacentral:lncRNA from 1 species
GAUAUGGUUCGAACCCACGCCGUCAUACAAAGUUCAACUCUUUUCUAUCAUUGUAGUAAAUGAGCACUUGUAGUUGGUGGUUGUUUUUUUGUCGAAAAAGUAAUGUUCAUUAAGAAGGAAAACUUUACAAGCCAACCCAAGGGAAGGCAAAAUAACCCAAAAUACACUUGGAGAAAGCUAAACUACAAAAGCCUAGCCCAAUAAACAAACAAACAGAAAAUAAAGGAUUAUGCUAGUGAGACCAAAUUUUAAAGCCAAAUUUGCAAACUAAAUAAUAUGUCAUCAAUAGGAAAUAAAUACGUUAAACAAUACAUAAGUAAUAAUCCAAACAUCAACAUCCACAUCAUUGGUUUACAAAAUUUGGUUUAGAAAUUUGGUCUCCCUAACAUUACCCGAAAAUAAAACCCUAAUCUUAAUCCUCAGAGAGAAGCAGCUUCGUCGUUGCCACUAGAGCUAGAUUUCGUCAUAAAGAAUGCCAGACCGAGAAACAGUCACCGGAUCAAGUCCCCUUCACUAAACCCAACAAAUAUAUACAAACAAAGUAACAUAUGGUAGAAGGUGAGGCUAAAGGGGCAUGUAAAAUACCCUUACUUUGACCGAAGUCGUAGAGCACUUGACCUCGAGAGGAAUUCGGUAAACCGGUUAAGGGAAGGGAAGUGAGGGAGGAAAGUGGAUCUGGUAUCCAUUUUUGGUUUGGAGCCAAAAAGCAAAGGAUGGGGUGGGGAUGGAUAACGAGGAAGGGAGGGUGGGAAACAAAAGAACAUAAGGCAGAUAAUUGAGGAAGGGGCAUGAAGCCCAAAUAUGAGAUAAACUCAGGGAAAAUUUGAGACAAAACUCAAGGACAACUGAGAAAAACUCAUAAGAAAACUGAGAAGAGAGUGGAAAGGAAGAAGAGAAUGAGGGAAGGAUGAGAAAAAAUGGGUUGCCAUCGGCACCAAGCCAAAGGCUAGGGCCGGCGACGAAUAUGUUUCCUAAGAACAAACCAUAUAGUUAAAUUAUUUCUCUUUGAGGAGAAGUGAGUUGAAACACAUCUACAAGAAGAAGAAUUAUGUGGCUGAUCAGUUGACAAAUUGGAGUUUUAAUAUGGAUAUUGGUGUUCAUGUGUUUAAUAAGCCUUAUGCUUGGAUUGGAUCAUCACUCAUGGAUGAUAUUUUACUGAACUAAUACAAGAGAGUACAAUAAAAAUUUGAAAUCGAUCAACCCAAAUCACUUUGAGAUUUGAAUUUUAUUGAAUUGGGCAUGCAUAUUAAACUAGAGACAUCAUUAGUCAGUUAAAUAUAUAAUAUUAGUGUUUACAUAUAUAAUGUACAUAUAAUAUUAUUAAGUAUUAAGUACCUAAAACCCUCCAACAUUUUAGCGUUAUUCCAAAUUAGUCUCAACCGUUUUAAACUUUUUCAACAAGUACCCAACUAUUGAAAAUAUCAUAUCCGUUAAAUCCCAAUUGAAUUUCUAUUAAAUUACCUAGGGCUUACUUUGUCUCCAACAUCAAUAUAAGAUUAUGGAAGUAUGGGUUCCACCAAGUAAUGGUCACCAUCACCCCACUUAGGCUUUUACCUCCAAACCCAACGCACAACCAUAAACUCCACUCUACAACUCAAGCCGCCAAAAUUAAGAAGAAGGUUAUGAAGGAUGCUGAAAUAUUAUGGAUUGCCACGAUGCAGCUACCACCAUCUUUACCAGCUAUAAAGAAGAAUUUAAAGCUUUAUUAGCCAAAAUUGGCGAAUAAGGAAAUCACAUUAGCAGAAACAAGCUCAUUGGCACCUUAUCUAAAUUCUUAACCCGCUUCUUUGUUAAGAAAUUUCCUCAUCUUCAUUUUAUUCGUGUAUUUGUUUUUUCAUCUUCAUGACUUUUUUGAAGUUAUUUUUAAUACUAUUUUAGUAUCUAGGUAAGCAAAUAAGUGGGACUCAUUGUCGCUAUAUGUAUGUUUAACGACAAAUUAACUGGGACUUAACGGAUGUAACACUUACAAUAGGUUGCUUAUUUGUUUAGAAUGUUUAAAAAUAUUGAGACCAAUUUAGAAUAAGUUAGAGAAUUUUAGGUACUUAAUCCUAAUAUUAAUUUAUAUAUUUUAUUAUAUAUGGUUUAAUUUGGUUAAAUCACGGUUUGUAAUGCAUUCUAAACCAAUUUUUGCGGUUUGAUUCGAUUUUAUUAACCGAUUGAACGAAAAAAAAAAAAAAA